rnacentral:sRNA from 1 species
AGACAAAAUUAUGCCCUGCGACAAUGAAGAGAUAGAGAAAAGAAAGAGGAGGAUUUAUCAUAGCAAAUUGAACUAUUGAAAGCUCUGAAGUCUUUGUCGUCUGGAAUCUGGAUUCUUCGACUCCAAUACGAGAUCAGAUCAGAUCAGAUGCAAUCAAGUCUCUUCGUCUUCAUGAUCAUCUGAAAACUUCAAUUUAAUGCAUUUUAAGCUCGAGAGCUCAAGCUUUCAGGGAACUACUCAGUCUUAACUGCGCUAAAGUUUUCAACUUCAACAAAAACUUGAUCCCUGGAAACAAGUGUUCUCUUGAUCUGACGACCUGACGACUUUCACAUGUGACUACUUGUGGGUCUUGAUUGGUAUUUUUUCAACGGAUCAAACUUCCAAUUCAAGAAACUAUGGCGGCAGAGGC